rnacentral:lncRNA from 1 species
GAGGUCCUUAAGGAGAAUAGCCUCCGUAGUAACUUCGAGUGGCUCUUCCUGAGCCGAUGAAGUUCGUCUUCCAGCUUCUUAGAUUUUUUUGUCGAUCGAUGAACUUUCCUUUGGAGGUCUCGUAUCAUCGACUUCAUGGGAAUACCCUCCGACAGGGGAAGAGCUUCGACAGGACACUAUCAUUGGAAGACAAGAGCGCCACGACUCAAAUUAAUGCAAGAAGACAACAAGAAGGAAAAGAAUACAAAAAGGGGGGAG